CGCCGUAUUGGCUAUUGCUUCUGCAAUCGGAGGUGUUAAGGAUGUUUUCGGAAAUUAUCACGACUUUACAACGGGACAACUUUCCAGUUCUGCAACAGGAAAAGUCCAUAAUCCCGUCUACCGCUACGCUGUUCACUCACAUCAUGCUGCUUUUCCAUACGCUUACUAUCCCGCACAUGGUGUUUUCCCUGUCGUUUAAACCAAAGAUUUCUGAACUUCUUGAAUAGUUGGAAAAAUCUUCAAAAUGCCACUUCGAAUGUUGCUUCUCCUUCAAAACUUAAUUAUCUACUGUAAAUAGAACUUGAUCUAUUUAAUAAAUAGUUUUCGACUCUAUA